AGAACGAACGCUGGCGGCAUGCCUAAUACAUGCAAGUCGAACGAACUCUUCGGAGUUAGUGGCGCACGGGUGCGUAACGCGUGGGAAUCUGCCCCUUGGUUCGGAAUAACAGUUGGAAACGACUGCUAAUACCGGAUGAUGACGAAAGUCCAAAGAUUUAUCGCCAAGGGAUGAGCCCGCGUAGGAUUAGCUAGUUGGUGAGGUAAAGGCUCACCAAGGCAACGAUCCUUAGCUGGUCUGAGAGGAUGAUCAGCCACACUGGGACUGAGACACGGCCCAGACUCCUACGGGAGCAGCAGUAGGGAAUAGUGGACAAGUGGGACGAAAGCCUGAUCCAGCAAUGCCGACGUGAGUGAGUGAAGGUCCGUUAGGUUAGUAAAGGUCUUACGUUUUAACCCGAGUACUAGAAUAAGUAGACGUAGUAA
rnacentral:rRNA from 1 species